rnacentral:rRNA from 1 species
AUUGAACGCUGGCGGCAUGCCUUACACAUGCAAGUCGAACGGUAACAGGUUAAGCUGACGAGUGGCGAACGGGUGAGUAAUGUAUCGGAACGUGCCCAGUCGUGGGGGAUAACUGCUCGAAAGAGCAGCUAAUACCGCAUACGACCUGAGGGUGAAAGCGGGGGAUCGCAAGACCUCGCGCGAUUGGAGCGGCCGAUAUCAGAUUAGGUAGUUGGUGGGGUAAAGGCCUACCAAGCCUACGAUCUGUAGCUGGUCUGAGAGGACGACCAGCCACACUGGGACUGAGACACGGCCCAGACUCCUACGGGAGGCAGCAGUGGGGAAUUUUGGACAAAGGACGCAAGUCUGAUCCAGCCAUGCCGCGUGCGGGAAGAAGGCCUUCGGGUUGUAAACCGCUUUUGUCAGGGAAGAAAAGGUUCUGGUUAAUAGCUGGGACUCAUGACGGUACCUGAAGAAUAAGCACCGGCUAACUACGUGCCAGCCGCCGCAGUAACAC